rnacentral:rRNA from 1 species
AUGCGGAAGCGCGACCUCGGCGUCCUCCUCCUCGCCGCCUUCGCCGUCUUCUUCUCCCUCCAGCACGAGGGCGACUUCUCGUUCCGGGAGGCGUGGUACCACCUGUCGGACGACGGGUUCCCCAUCAAGCACGACGCGGACCGCCUCCCGCCGCCGCUCGUCGCCGACCUCAACGGCGACGGCCGCCGCGAGAUGCUCCUCCCCACCCACGACGCCAAGAUCCAGGUCCUCCAGCUCCCCACCCACCCCAGGCUCGCCACCACCACCCUCGACGGCUUCCACGAGGCGCGCGUCAUGGCCGAGAUCUCCCUGCUCCCGGCCAACGUGCGCGUCGCCGCCGGCCGCCGCCCCGUCGCCAUGGCCGUCGGCGCCGUCGACCGCUCCUACAAGCACGCCGAGGUCCGCAAGCAGGUGCUCGUCGUCGUCACCUCCGGAUGGGCCGUCAUGUGCUUCGACCACAACCUCAAGAAGCUCUGGGAGACGAGCCUCGGGGACGACUUCCCCCACGCCGCGCACCACCGCGAGGUCGCCGUCUCCGUCACCAACUACACGCUCAAGCACGGCGACGCCGGCCUCGUCAUCGUCGGCGGGAGGAUGGAGAUGCAGCACCAUUCCGCAGAUCUCUUCGACGACUUCAUGACCUCCGAACACGGCAGGGAAGAGCACCGCAGAAGCGCCAGCGAGAAACAGGCUUCAGAGGCUGGCAACGUAGACGUGCGUCAUUUUGCGCUUUAUGCCUUCUCUGGCCGCACCGGUGCGUUAAGAUGGAGCCGGAAGAAUGAGAACAUCCAGGCACAGCCAACAGAUGCUUCGGCGAUGAUACCACAACAUAAUUACAAGCUUGAUGUUCACGCCCUUAAUAGCCGUCAUCCUGGUGAGUAUGAAUGCCGGCAAUUCAGAGAAUCAAUUCUUGGCGUCAUGCCUCACCAUUGGGAUAGGAGAGAGGAUACUUUUCUACAACUUGCACAUUUUAGGAAGCAUAAAAGGAAAGAAUUAAAGAAAACACAAGGAAAAAACGUUGUUAAUAACGUGCACAAGCCUGCUGAACACAAUCCACUCGGAAAGGAUGAUACUAAUAGAAUAUCCAAAGUGAUUGGGAAAGCUGCAGAUCUGGCUGGCUCAGCUAAAGGCAAAAAGUCUCUGCACACAGUUUAUAUUCCUACAAUCACUAAUUAUACUCAAGUUUGGUGGGUUCCCAAUGUUGUUGUUGCACAUGAAAAGGAAGGGGUAGAGGCUAUUCAUCUAGCUUCUGGACGUACGCUUUGCAAGCUUCAUUUGACAGAAGGAGGCCUUCAUGCAGAUAUUAAUGGAGAUGGAGUUCUUGAUCAUGUUCAGGUUGUCGGUGGAAAUGGUGCUGAGCAAACUGUUGUUAGCGGGUCCAUGGAGGUGCUGAAACCCUGUUGGGCAGUUGCUACAUCCGGUGUACCAGUGCGGGAGCAACUUUUCAAUGUUUCUAUCUGCCAUUACAACCAUCUCAACCUGUUCCAUCAUGGUGACUUCUCAAGAAGUUUUGGGAGGUCAUUUGAUCCAUCUGGCUUAGAGGUGGCAACCCCAGUUCUGCUCGAGAGGGAUGAUGGUCAUAAACACAGAAGAGGAAGUCAUGGCGAUAUCAUCUUUCUAACAAGCAGGGGCGAGGUGACCUCGUACACCCCAGGCCUACUUGGUCACGAUGCGAUGUGGAGAUGGCAGCUAUCGACGGGCGCGACAUGGUCCAACCUCCCAUCUCCAUCAGGGAUGAUGGAGAACGUGGUGGUUCCUACUCUCAAGACCUUCUCCCUGAGAGCCUAUGACCCAAAGCAGGUGAUCAUUGCGGGCGGAGACCAGGAGGCCGUGGUGAUUUCUCCUGAUGGUAGCCUGCUGACGUCCAUUGACCUCCCCGCGCCUCCGACCCACGCGCUGAUCCUCGAGGAUUUCUCCGGCGACGGUCUGACCGACGUCAUCCUGGUGACGUCCGGGGGAGUGUACGGGUUUGUGCAGACGAGGCAGCCCGGGGCCCUCUUCUUCAGCACGCUCGUCGGCUUCUUGAUUGUCGUGAUCGGGGUGAUCUUUGUCUCUCUGCACCUCAACUCGUCGAACGGUGCUAAACCGAGGUCGACCAGCCAAAGAUGA